rnacentral:rRNA from 1 species
AGAGUUUGAUCCUGGCUCAGGACAAACGCUGGCGGCGUGCGUAACACAUGCAAGUCGGACGAGGCCUGCGCUCUUUUCGGAGAGGGCAGGUUGAGUGGCGGACGGGUGAGUAACACGUGGAUAACCUGCCCUGGUGUGGGGGAUACCCUGUAGAAAUACGGGCUAAUACCGCAUGCGGUCGAUGAGGGGGAGCCCUGAUC